GAUGAAGAACGCAGCGAAAUGCGAUAAGUAAUGUGAAUUGCAGAAUUCAGUGAAUCAUCGAAUCUUUGAACGCACAUUGCGCCCGCCAGUAUUCUGGCGGGCAUGCCUGUUCGAGCGUCAUUACUACCCUCAGGCCCCCGGGCCUGGCGUUGGGGAUCGGCGGAAGCCCCCUGCGGGCACAACGCCGUCCCCCAAAUACAGUGGCGGUCCCGCCGCAGCUUCCAUUGCGUAGUAGCUAACACCUCGCAACUGGAGAGCGGCGCGGCCACGCCGUAAAACACCCAACUUCUGAAUGUUGACCUCGAAUCAGGUAGGAAUACCCGCUGAACUUAAGCAUAUCAAUAAGCGGAGGA
rnacentral:misc_RNA from 1 species